GAGCUCCUGCAUAACCUUGAAGGAGAUCAUAAAUUGAUUCAGAUGGAAAACACGCCUCAGUUGAAACUUGCACCGCCAGCUCUCUACCAUGAAAAGUUAAAAAAGGGAAUUGAUAACUCGUCGGGAGGAAGCACGAGCCGUGUUUCUACAACAGAAAAAACAAAUAGUAAGCAACUCAGGGAUGUGAAACUGAAAGGAUCAUCAUCUGUGCGAUUCCCCCUGAAAUCGAAUAUUAUAUUCGGCAAGGAAAAGAUUAGGAAGAGGUGAUUUAAAUCAUUCAUGUGGCUUGACUGAUUAUAUACCAACAAGAGAGCUCAUCAAAGAUAUAGAUAUGGAAGUGCCUUCCACCCUCCGAUUUCUGCUCUCAAAGUAGCUAUCAUCAUUUUGGCCCUCUUAUAGUGCUCUUGUUAACUGUAAAUUUGUGUCUAUAACUGUAUUGGUAAUGUAUAUUUUUGUAAGAGGUGAAUAAUGUAAGUAGAGUGAUAGCUUCUAAGUGUUGAUCUAUGUUUUUGUUGCCAAAUGGUUGUGGUAAAAUCAGUCUACAGCUGUAUGAUUGAUUGUAUCUACAAAUGUGUGGCAUGCAAAACCCAUCAAGAACUUUUGGUCCAUUUCAAAGUUUCAUCAAUUUUCUA